CCCUAAUGGUACUGAUCCUUACUAGAUACUGGUUUAUUUAGAUUAUUAGUUGCCUGGUGUGGUGCCAGAUCCGCGAAAAUGGUGGAGGCUCUUUAUAUAAACAAGUCGAGGAACCAUUGUUGAUUCUGGAACAACUUUGGCAUACCUAGCUGAAGAAACGUUUGAUCCAUUUGUCGAUGCUCUUGUUACUGUUGUUCAACAGACCCCGUAAAACCUUUUAUAGAUAAAACAUGAACCCAAUGUUUUAUUGCACAAACCAGGUAUUUGGGCUAAAGUCAAAAAGCAGUAGUCUAGUGAUACUGUAACGGCAGCUGAAUCAACCUAUGAUUUGCGGAGGAAAUUGUUUAAGCAAGCGGAGUCUCGUGAUACUUCUGGUGAUAUUUUAGUCUUUCUUUCCAUAUUUUCCAAUGCCUCUGUCAGUUGACACAAACUAGGUUACCCAUCCAUUUAUGAACAUCAGCAUGGGUGGAAUAUUGUAUGUCAGUCACAAAAUUUUAGGUUCUCAACAAUACAGUUUACUUGUGUACAUUUGUAUGAAUUGAAGAAUCCUUUCUUUUAUAAUAAUAUCAUGUGGUGGUGAUUCUCAGC